rnacentral:rRNA from 1 species
CCCUUAGAUGUUCUGGGCCGCACGCGCGCUACACUGACGGAGGCAGCGAGCAUGUCCUGCGCCGAGAGGUGUGGGGAAUCUUGUGAGUCUCCGUCGUGCUGGGGAUAGAUGGUUGCAAUUGUCGAUCUUGAACGAGGAAUUCCUAGUAAGCGCGAGUCAUCAGCUCGCGCUGAUUACGUCCCUGCCCUUUGUACACACCGCCCGUCGCUACUACCGAUUGAAUGGUUUAGUGAGGCCUUCGGAUCCGCGACUCGUUUUGUGGAGAAGUUGGACAAACUCAGUCAUUUAGAGGAAGUAAAAGUCGUAACA